CUCGGAAACGGACGCUAAUACCGCAUACGUCCUACGGGAGAAAGCAGGGGACCUUCGGGCCUUGCGCUAUCAGAUGAGCCUAGGUCGGAUUAGCUAGUUGGUGAGGUAAUGGCUCACCAAGGCUACGAUCCGUAACUGGUCUGAGAGGAUGAUCAGUCACACUGGAACUGAGACACGGUCCAGACUCCUACGGGAGGCAGCAGUGGGGAAUAUUGGACAAUGGGCGAAAGCCUGAUCCAGCCAUGCCGCGUGUGUGAAGAAGGUCUUCGGAUUGUAAAGCACUUUAAGUUGGGAGGAAGGGCAUUUACCUAAUACGUAAGUG
rnacentral:rRNA from 1 species